UUGGUCAAACUGAAUGCCCUGCGAAAUUGCAUUCACUUCAAAAAUAGUAUAAACUACCGUUGAUAGUAUUAAUAAUUGCUACUUCCGUCGCCAUAACAUCAGUUGGAAUGCCUCUGGCGCUGAAAUGACAAUAAAGAAGAAAUAUAAAUCUUACCUGGACUCACAAGAUAAUGAGAUUCCAAAAACGACAAAUCACCGCUUUAAGAAGUUGGCUGCAAAUAAAGAGGUAUGUUUUAUUUGAAUGUUUUUUUAGUUAAAUAUUAUUUUCCAGCACAGUUUGAAAAUUGUAGCCAGACUUGCAACAAAUUAUAUAUAUUAUUUUCUUUAUUCUGCAUGGUAUUCCUGCUACAUACAACAUGCUGUAUUUGCACGUCUGUCUGUGGUACACAGUAUUUCUACAUCUUUGUCAUUUUCUUUUUUGCAGAAUUCACGCCGAGGUGGUUACAAAGACUAUGUGUGCUGCAAUGAUUCUGAAUUACCAAGAACAACUGAAUACAGGAGAAGGAAAAAACUGCUCCCAGUCAAUUUCAAUAACAAUGAGUCCAGCAAGGAAAAUAACAAUGUUCAUUAUACUCAGUGCCCAAGACCAGCAAAGCGAUUCAAAUCGGAUAACCAAGAGCAGGAAAUACUUGAGUGGAGUGUUAAUGAAGUGACUACUAAUGAUAGCAGAGGGCUGCCUCACCUGACCAAUUUGUGCCAGUCUCCUGAGAUUCAUCAUCAGGAAGCCGACUUACACUCUCAGACAAUUAAGGACAGGCCUGAUAUUGUCUGUGGUGGACACCAAGAGUAUACUGAUUUGCAACUAGCACCUGAGAUACCUCACCUGAACCAAGGACCAAGCUCAAAUCCAUCGCAGG